CCUGUCCUUCCAGGGUAUAAAUAAUACAGGCUGGGAACUCUUCAGCACAAGCGGGCAGAAGGGAAGCUCUGCAAAGGACAGCACACACAAGUGGAGGGAGGAUACAGAGGGGAAUAUUGCUGACAGACAAGAGAUGAUGGACCUGACUUCAGCUCUCUCACUGGAAACCUGGGUGCUCCUGGCAAUCAGUUUGAUGCUUCUAUAUGUAUUGGGGACCCAAAACCAUGACAUUUUUAAGAAACAGGGAAUUCCUGGACCCAAACCUCUGCCAUUUUUAAGAACUCUGCUGUAUUGCUACAAGGGUAUAUGGAAAUUCGAUGUUGAGUGUUCUAAAAUGUAUGGGAAAAUAUGGGGGUUGUUUGAUGGUCCAACAUCCCUGUUAACUAUCACAGAUCCAGACAUGAUCAAGAAUGUACUUGUGAAGGAAUCCUAUUGUCUUCACAAACCGACGGGAUAUUGGCCCAGUGGGGAUAAUGAGUAAAAGUCUGACCGCAUCUAAGGAUGAGGGGUGGAAGAGACUUCGAGCCUUGCUAUCUUCCACCUUCACCAGUGGAAAACUCAAAGAGAUGUUUCCCAUCAUUGAAGAGUAUGGAGAUAUUUUGGUAAAAUACUUGAGAAAAGAGGCAGAGAAAGGCAAACCUCUCAACAUGAAAGAAGUGUUUGGGGCCUACAGCAUGGAUGUGAUCAUGAGCACAGCAUUUGAACCGAGUGGAUUUUCUUCAGCUGAUGAUGAACUCACAAAAUAAUUCCAAAGACAAGGAGUCUCAUAAAGGAUUUCUCUGUGUGAUAGCCUGGAUUAUCCCAGAACUCAC